rnacentral:lncRNA from 1 species
ACUUGAAGAUUGAAGCAAUUAGGAGCUAAAGUGAAGCCUAAGUUAAGAUUAAACAUCAUCUAAGGUAAGGGGGUUAGUUAUUAUCACAAUCAUGUAAUUUUGCAUUUGCUCAUGUUGUAUGAAAAUGGGUUGAUGAACAAUUCAUGUCAAAUUCGUGCUUUUGCUGUGAUGUUAUGUUUGUAUGCAUGAAUUGAUGAUAAUUGUAUGAUUGUUGGUGAAAUUACAUGUUCAAAUAUGUAAAAAUGAUAAGUUGUGAAAAUGGUGCUCAAUUGGUGAAUUUUGCUAAGUUAUUGUUAAUUUGAGAUUUGAUUCUUGCUCAAAUGAUGUUAUGGUUGUUAAUUGAUGUUGUAGUUGAUGAAUCAUUGCUUGGGUAUGCAUAUUCAUGAAUUGAUUAUGAGAAUUUGAAUUGUUGUUGGUGUUUUAUGUAAAUGGGUUGAUUUGGUGAAUUGGCUAAAAGUGAGAUUGAUUUUCAUUUUCAAUGUGUUUUUGAGUAUCCUUGUGAGUUAUAUGACCUAUAAACAUUCUUUGGAAACAUGUUUGGGCAUUGGGAGAUCAAAAUUGGGAGUUUUGGGUGAAAAAUGGGUGAAACCCGUAACUUUUGUUAUGCAGAAUUUUGAAUGGUCGCUUAAGCGAC